rnacentral:rRNA from 1 species
GUAGGUGGCAAGCGUUGUCCGGAAUUAUUGGGCGUAAAGCGCGCGCAGGCGGUUCUUUAAGUCUGAUGUGAAAGCCCACGGGCUCAACCGUGGAGGGUCAUUGGAAACUGGAGAACUUGAGUACAGAAGAGGAAAGCGGAAUUCCACGUGUAGCGGUGAAAUGCGUAGAGAUGUGGAGGAACACCAGUGGCGAGGGCGGCUUUCUGGUCUGUAACUGACGCUGAGGCGCGAAAGCGUGGGGAGCAAACAGGAUUAGAUACCCUGGUAGUCCACGCCGUAAACGAUGAGUGCUAAGUGUUAGGGGGUUCCCGCCCCUUAGUGCUGCAGCUAACGCAUUAAGCACUCCGCCUGGGGAGUACGGCCGCAAGGCUG